rnacentral:tRNA from 1 species
GGGCGCUUAGCUCAGCCUGGAGUGAGCGCUACUUUGACAUAGUAGAGGUCGGAGGUUCAAAUCCUCCAGCGCCCACAA